rnacentral:rRNA from 1 species
UACGUAGGGACCGAGCGUUGUCCGGAAUCAUUGGGCGUAAAGAGCGUGUAGGCGGCCACUUAAGUCCUGCGUGAAAUCUUGCGGCUCAACCGCAAGCGGUCGUGGGAAACUGGGUGGCUAGAGUGCGGGAGAGGAGACUGGAAUUCCUGGUGUAGCGGUGAAAUGCGCAGAUAUCAGGAGGAACACCGGCGGCGAAGGCGGGUCUCUGGGCCAUUACUGACGCUGAGGAGCGAAAGCGUGGGGAGCGAACAGG